CCGCCCGUCACAUCACGAAAGCCAUUUGUACUAGAAGCCGGUGAUUCAACAGCAAGGAGAUAGCCGUCCAAGGUAUGAAUGGUGAUUGGGGUG
rnacentral:rRNA from 1 species